rnacentral:rRNA from 1 species
UUCCAGACUCCUACGGGAGGCAGCAGUGGGGGAUAUUGCACAAUGGGGGGAACCCUGAUGCAGCGACGCCGCGUGGGUGAAGGAGUAUUUCGGUAUGUAAAGCCCUAUCGGCAGGGAAGAAGCAAGACGGUACCUGACUAAGAAGCCCCGGCUAACUACGUGCCAGCAGCCGCGGGAAUACGUAGGGGGCGAGCGUUAUCCGGAUUCACUGGGUGUAAAAGGAGCGUAGACGGCCAUGCAAGCCAGGGGUGAAAGCCCGGGGCCCAACCCCGGGACUGCCCUUGGAACUGCAUGGCUGGAGUGCGGGAGGGGCAGGCGGAAUUCCUGGUGUAGCGGUGAAAUGCGUAGAUAUCAGGAGGAACACCGGCGGCGAAGGCGGCCUGCUGGACCGCGACUGACGUUGAGGCUCGAAAGCGUGGGGAGCGAACAGGAUUAGAUACCCUCGUAC